UUUUAGGGGAGAAAUCCAUCUCAAAAGGAAGCAUAUGCGUGAGUAGGUGUGGACAAAGUGGAUGAAAUAAUCUAUGCUUGAGUAACAUAAGAAUUGAGCCGCUGAGAGAAAAAAUAUAGGGGAGAAAAUGGGAUUAGAUACCUUAUUACUCCUACCCAUUAAAAAUGGAUACUAAUCUUUGUGAGUAUUAACCCAUGUAGUGUUGUAGAUAACUCGUUAAGUAUCAUAAUUGGGGAGUAUGUUCACAAGAAUGAAUCUUAAAGGAAUUAACAUGGGAGUACACAAGUGGAAGAGUGUGUGGUUAUAUUCAAUGCAAAGAAAAUAAUAUUACCAAUGAUUAACAUGUGCCUUCAGGAAUGCAUACAUAGGUGGUGCAUGGUUUUCAUUAGCUCGUUCCAUAAGGUUUUGAGUUAAUUCUUUGAAUGAGUGAAACCCUUGUGUUUAGUUACCAAGAUUGAGUUUGGGAUCGAUGAUAGGAUGAAAGAAGGUGAUGAUUAUGAUGUCAAGUCAACAAUCCUCUUAUACACUUGGUUACACACAUGCUACAAUGGUCAAGGCAAAGGGUCAUGAUCCCAUGAGGGAAAGAUAACCUCAAAAAUCUAGCCUAAGUUUAUAUUGCUAACUACAACUCAUGUGCAUGUAGUUUAAAUCACUAGUAGUCACUAGUUAUCCAUAUACCAUAAAACCUAUUCCCAGGCCUUAUACACACCACCCAUCAUACUAUGAUGACAUGAGUGUGGCUUAUGUUAUCAGAAAAUUUUCUCACCCAUAUU
rnacentral:ncRNA from 1 species